CAGUUUUCUCAGAAUUCGAGGGAAACGGCCUCAAUUUUGUGAAAAACUGGCUCAAAGAAACGGGAAUGGAAAAUCUAUGUGCUUCAUUUGAAGGUAUGUACUACAUAAUUGUGUAAAACUGUUAAAUUUCCACAAGGUAUCCAAAUUUUUUACGUGAAUUUCGCUAUCGUGUCGAAAAACAUUUCCAUAUAUUUUGUACUUUUUGUAUUUACUGUUACAGUGGGGCAUUUGAAGACAUUUUUGCACAGGGGUGGAGAAUUUUAUCAGUCAAAUUUCAAAAAGUCCAAAUUCCCGGAGUCGGCCCGGGGAGGGGG